AUCGGGGCCUAUUAUAGCUGACUAUGCGGUAUGGGAUUUGCUCAUUGUUGAAGGCCGUACGGUGACCUAUAGUUGUUAAAGUCUGUGUCAUUUUGGUCUCUUGUGGAUAGUUGUCUCAUUGGCAAUCAUACCACAUCUUCUUUUUUAUAUUAAUUAAAUCACUGUUAUAUAUUUUAUUUUUUUGUUCACCAAUGUAACGUAUUAUAACUGGAAAGUUUAUUUCUUUUAAAUUGUAAAUAGGCCACGCAUGCACGUACUAGUCAAAGUUGUGACUCAGUGCGGAAUUAAGAAGAUAGAUAGAUUUAUCACGUGUUUAAAUUAAUUGAUUGAUUGAUGGUUGAUUAGUUUUUAA
rnacentral:lncRNA from 1 species